GUGUCAGCAGCCGCGGUAAUACGUAGGGGGCAAGCGUUGUCCGGAAUUAUUGGGCGUAAAGGGCGCGUAGGCGGAUAGUUAAGUCCGGUGUGAAAGAUCAGGGCUCAACCCUGAGAGUGCAUCGGAAACUGGUUAUCUUGAGGACAGGAGAGGAAAGUGGAAUUCCACGUGUAGCGGUGAAAUGCGUAGAUAUGUGGAGGAACACCAGUGGCGAAGGCGACUUUCUGGACUGUAACUGACGCUGAGGCGCGAAAGCGUGGGGAGCAAACAGGAUUAGAUACCCCCGUAGUCC
rnacentral:rRNA from 1 species